AUACGUAGAGUGCAAGCGUUAAUCGGAAUUACUGGGCGUAAAGCGUGCGCAGGCGGUUUUGUAAGACAGUGGUGAAAUCCCCGGGCUCAACCUGGGAACUGCCAUUGUGACUGCAAGGCUGGAGUGCGGCAGAGGGGGAUGGAAUUCCGCGUGUAGCAGUGAAAUGCGUAGAUAUGCGGAGGAACACCGAUGGCGAAGGCAAUCCCCUGGGCCUGCACUGACGCUCAUGCACGAAGGCGUGGGGAGCAAACAGGAUUAGAUACCCUGGUAGUCCACGCCCUAAACGAGGUCAACUGGUUGUUGGGUCUUCAUUGACUCAGUAACGAAGCUAACGCGUGAAGUUGACCGCCUGGGGAGUACGGCCGCAAGGUUGAAACUCAAAUGAAUUGACGGGG
rnacentral:rRNA from 1 species